GCGGAGCCAGCACGGCCCCGCCUACUGGCGGAGGGGGGGCGGGCACGCCGCGAGUGGGGGAAAAAACGUAAACGGGAGGAGGGAGGAGGGCAGCGCGCGGGGUUUUCCGCGUCUUUCUACCCCCGCCCCAUCUGCGCCCUGGGAGAACUUUUAUUAUUAUUAUUUCUCGAUGACGGUGGAAGCGUCGGAAGGAGAGGCUCGCUCCUCUCCUCGCCUGCAGGAGGCCCUAAUCCCGCCGUGUCAAAGGAGGCAAGCAGUGCGGGGGCAUCUUUAAAGCUCUGGAUUCCCAACCACGUGUUAGGGACGCGUGGGGAAAAAAAAAGGAGCCCAAGGUCCAAGCGAAGGGAGCCGCUUUGCCCUGUCUCGUCCCAGGGCGCUUUCCUGGACUCCCACCGCCACUCUUUCCCCGGGAAGGUCUCCCGAGUCCCUAACGGGCUCUGAACCCGCAUCCUUUGCCAAGUUGAUCUUUUUCUUUCUUCUUCUUCUCUUCUUCUGCAAACUGCGCUUCAACCUCAGCUGGAUCCACAUAGGUGUAAAAAUAGGCCAUAAUAGCAAAAAUUAUAGUAACUGCAAACAACAAUGCUGCAAAAAGAACAUAUUCUGCCCACUGUGGAAAAAAAGAGAUAAAAACACUCCACAGUCCAACAGCAGGGAGGUUAUAAAGCCAAGUGAGUUACCUGUGAAUAUGAAAAUUCAAGUCCAGUCACUGAGAAGACAACUUCAGCACAAGAAAUGUUUUCCUCUCAAAAUCAACCAAAACAACUUUUUAUUUCAACUCAAAUGUUAUCUUGCUCAUGUAAAACUACGUUGAUUUAAAUUAUUGUUCUAUUUUAGAAGUCCAAGUGUGUUUUGCAAACUUUUAAAAUUCAACAAUUAAUGUGGGUAAAAUCUUCGGCUGAUAUUCACUGUUCACCAAUGAUGAAAAAAGGUAAUGGGCAUAGGUAAGAAAGUUUAAAAGGAGUUCUUAUCUCCCUCCAUUCCUGCUUUUUAUUUUAUUUUCCUUUCCCGUUUUUGACUGUCCUAGAACUUGUUUCUCAAAGGCCCAUUUGUUUCGUUAUUCAUCCUUUUCAUAUUUGCUUUCUCCUGUUUUUUAAACCAUUCUUUGCCACCUGUGACAGUCAUAGCAAUUUUACCUACUCGUGUGAUGCACACUGAAACAUUUCAGGCCAAGAUAGGAAAAAUGGCAGCCACCAUGUCUUGGAGGAACUGCCACUGUGUUAACCCAGAAUGCCUAGACCUUGAUGAUUAUCUAAAUCAAAGGUUACACUCCUAAGAUGUCAUUUUCUCCCCCAAAGGCUAAGUACAAUUUUAGAAUCCAACGUAAAUAAGAAAAGUGAGACAUGAAUUCUUCAGUACAGUUGUCAAUCAACCAGUAUAUCAUAGCUUAAAUUAUAAACUUUACUGCAGGUAAACGUACUAAUCUAUUCUGUGAGAUAUACACAUUAAUUGUACCUAAUUUUUUUAUGGACUAAUGUUCACUUUCUUUCAAUUCCAUCUUACCAGCAUACUUUCCCAUACUGAUACCCUCCAGAAAUAUUGCAGUUGUAACUAUUAGUUUUGAGAACUGAAGUCCCAACACAUCUAACAACACCAGUUGGAGGAAAGCUGUUGUAUCGUAAUGUUAAAGAAUACUUACGAUCCAAUUGGAAAAGCAGCGUAGUUGGUGACUGAGAAAUUCAUCACCUCUCCAAAGGCCACAUCACCCAUAGUGAUAUUAAUGAUUGAAUCCAAACUGUUUAUAAAUCUUUAAAAAGUUAAAAAGUCGCAUUUAAAAAAUUGAAAGGCCUUUUAGCCAUUUAUUAUCAUUAACUGGUAUUUCCUUAGUACAGGUAGUCCUCAACUUACGACCACAAUGGAGCCCAACAUUUCUGUUGUUAAAUGAGACAUCUGUUAAGUGAGUUUUGCCCCAUUUUACAACCUUUCAUGCCUCAGUUGUUAAAUGAAUCACUGCAGUUGAUCAGUUAGUAAUAUGGAUGCUAAGUGAAUCUGGCUUCCCCAUUGACUUUGCUUAUCAGAAGAUCGUAAAAGGGGAUCACAUAACCUGAGGACACAGCAACGAUCAUAAAUAUGAACCAAUUGCCAAGUCUCUGAAUUUUGAUCACAUGAUCAUGGGGAUGCUGCAAAGGUCAUAACUGUGAAAAAUGGUCGUAAGUCAGAUUUUUAAGUGCUGCUGUAACUUUGAACGGGCACUAAAUGAACUGUUGUAAAUCGAGGACUACCUGUAUUGACAAUUCAUUCUUAAAUAUUAUUAACAGAGAUUUUCAAGUGUUUAGAGUAAUACUAUAGCCAAAGCUUUCUUACUCCAAAAAUUCUGUCACAAGAUACAAAAUUUAGUUAUACAGCUAAAGGUGUUAUAAUUUAGACUACAGUAAAUCUAAAAAAUUUUCAGUGCUGUUGCCUUAAAAUAGUAUAGCACUCCGUCCACUCUCUCCCAUGAACAAUCUAGAGAUCUUCUACAUACAGUACAUCAGUGGUGAAAUGUAAAAUUUGUUAUUACUGGUUCUGUGGGCGUGGCUUGGGUAAUGUGACUGGGUGGGCGUGGCCAACUUUUUUUUUUUUACUUUUAAAAGCAUUUUUUCUACAACCUCUUCGGCCGAAGAGGUUGUAUAAAAAAUGCUUUUAAAAGGUUCUGACAAUCCCAGCUGAGCCGCGUGAUCAUCAGAGGCUUUUUUUAAACUUUUAAAAGGAUUUUUUCGGCCGAAGAAAAAAUGCUUUUAAAAAUAAAAAUAAAAACCCUCUGAUGAUCGUGUGGUUCAGCUGGGCAUGGGGGGGGCAGGGAUUUUUGCUACCAGUUCUUCAAACCACCUACCGCCAUCGCUACCGGAUUGGGCAAUCUGGUCCGAACCGGGAGCCUUUCACCCUGCAGUACAUGAUAUCUCAACUUCUCUUGUCUUGUUUUUGCAGGUGGCAGGCUAUUACAAUGGAGUCUGAUGUGGGUUUCUGUGUAAGAGUGUGUGACCUGGAGACAAACUUGUGGUUUGAGGUGUCACACCUGGAUAAUAGUUCCUUCCAAGACUGUCUUCCAUGUCAAAGCAACUAAUCCCUGCCACAAUAUUUAGUUCCAGACUCUUAUUUUAUAGCUUAAUAAAAUUAAACAUUAACCACAAUAAAAUAUAAAUCCACACAAUUAAUUUUUAUUACCUGA